rnacentral:sRNA from 1 species
AGGAUGAGCACCUCCGCAGGAGGUUCGAGCCUCGCGAAGCGAGACAACGUUGCUUUAGCAACGGCCCGCAGGGCGCGCAUCAACGAUGCGCGUAAUCCUCUCUCGCCGACCA